rnacentral:rRNA from 1 species
UACAGAGGUCUCAAGCGUUGUCCGGAUUUACUGGGCGUAAAGAGCGCGUAGGCGGCUCGGUAAGUGUGAAGCUAAAUCUCUGGGCUCAACCCAGAAACUAUUUCGCAUACUGCCAAGCUGGAGUGAUGAAGAGGUUUGUGGAAUUCCUGGUGUAGCGGUGGAAUGCGCAGAUAUCAGGAGGAACACCGGUGGCGAAGGCGGGUCUCUGGGCAGUAACUGACGCUGAGGAGCGAAAGCGUGGGGAGCGAACAGG